UGACAUAGCACAUUUCCCAAUCACUAGGUAACAAAUUAGAUGAAACUGGGGCUGUAGUUCCACUGGUGGAGCGGUUGCCUAGCACACAUCGACAGACCUGGCUCCUGAUCUUAACAAUGCAGAGUGAGCAAUCUGAUGCCAUGAUAUUUUUCAUAACAAAAAUAAACCUUGAGCAAUGUGAGGGUUUGAAUAUGCUUGGCCCAGAGAGUGGCACUAUAAGGAGGUGAGGCCUUAUGGAAGGAAGUGUGUCACUGUGUGGGUGUGUUUGGAGACCCUCCUUCUAAUUACCCGGAAGUUAGUCUUCUCCUGUUUGCCUUUGGAACAACAUGUAGAACUCUCAGCUCCUCCAACGCCAUGCCUGUCUGGAUGCUACCAUGCUUCCUGCCAUGAUGAUAAUGCAAAAUUUGGAAAGGAAAAAUAAGAUUAAUAUAAUGUAAAGGUGAUAUGUUAUCCAAAUGAAAAACUCAAUUGGAGACACCCUCAGGUAAAUGAUAUGAUGGUGAGAUAGCUCAGCAGGUAAAGACACUUACCACCAAAUGAACCAAGAGUUUGACUCACAUAGUGGAGAAAACUGACUCCUGAAAAUUGGCCUCUGAGCUCAUCACGCCCAUCACAUACAAACACACAAGCACUCAUGUCUAAGCUAAAUAAUAAAAUAUAACUAAAAAUAAGAGUUUUGCAUGUUCGUCUUAAAUAUAAAAAUAGGUUCUACCUUUAGGACAAAAUAUUGAAUAUAUUGUAUUUUAUCAUUAAAGGUCUUGAAGUAAGUACUGUCUUUAGUUAGGGUUUUACUGAUAUGAACAGACACCAUGACCAAGGCAACUCUUAUAACAUUUAAUUGGUGCUGGCUUACAGGUUCGGAGGUUCAGUCCAUUAUCAUCAAGGCAGGAGCAUGGCAGCAUCCAGGCAGGCAUGGUGCAGAAGCUGAGAGUUCAACAUCUUGUUCCAAAGGCAAACAGGAGAAGACUGGCUUUCAGGCAGCUAGGACACAGCUUAAAGCCCAGGCACACAGUGACACACUUCCUCCAGCAAGGCCACACCUCCAAAUAGUGCCACUUCCUGGGCCAUGCAUAUUCAAGCUCCCACAAGUACAAACACACUUAAAGCCAUUUGCUCUGUUUUAACACAGGGUCAGACUAUGCAGGUUGGCCUGCAACUUGCUUUGUAGCUUAGGUUGCUUCAGCCUCCUGAGCAUGGAGCUUAUACACACGUGUUACCGUGGCUGGCUGAGGGAACCUACGACUGUGUAAGCAUGGAAGUAUUCACAGGUAGUCCGACAACUUGUAAUCAGAGGAGUUUGGAACACACACAGAAAGGUACCUCUUGUCUAUCUUUUGGCUGAGAUCACACACAGACACUUUUAUAGAGGCGCUUUAAUGUUAUAAUUAAAAUUCUUGAUUUUUUUUCCCCCUUUGGUCAUUUGUUUUCCCUCUUAAAAAGCAAAGUGACUUUAAAAGGCUAACAUUUGAUUAAAUAAAAACUAGAAGUAUUGUCUGUUACUUGAAAGAUGUCUACAGUAUACUGAGAGUGAGACUCAAUCAGAUGUCAGAGACAGAGCUUUUGAGAACAGAAACCAAUUAGGAAAACUUAUAAGCUGAGGCUCUAUACAUCCGACACAUCUGAAAACAAUAAUAUCAGUGGUUACAUGAUUCAAGGAAGAGCCUCCCGGGUGAGGAGGG
rnacentral:lncRNA from 1 species